GACCUUUCAGAAAUGUGUCUGGAGAGGGUUUUGUAUGCUGACAGCUUCAGGUUCUGGCGGGAAUUCAAUCCUGUCAGAGGCAUCCACUCCAAUCCCAGAUGGCUGUGUAGCUGGCGAUUGGAAGACACAUGUCCCAACC
rnacentral:snoRNA from 1 species